CCCUUACUGGGACCAUCCUUGUGCCUUUACUGGGACUGUCAUUGAGUCUUCACUGGGUCUUUACUGGGUCUUUGCUGGGGCUGUUACUGGGCCCUUACUGGGACCAUUGUUGGACCUUUACUGGGGUUGUCAUUGGACCUUUACUGGGCCCUUACUGGGACCAUCACUGCCUCUACUGGGUUUUUACUGGGGCUGUCAUUGGACCUUUACUGGGUCUUUACUGGGGCUGCUACUGGACCCUCCCUGAGCCCUUACUGGGACCAUCGUUGGACCUUUACUGGGGUGAUCACUGGACAUUUACUGGGUCCUUACUGGUACUGUCAUUGGACUUUUAUUGGGUAUUUACUGGGGUUGUCACUGGACCUUUACUGGGUCCUUACUGGGGCUGUUACUGGGCCCUCCCUGGGCCCUUACUGGGACCAUCGUUGUGCCUUUACUGGACCUUUACUGGGGUGGUUACUGGGCCUUUACUGGCCCCUUACUGGGACCAUCGUUGUGCCUUUACUGGGUCUUUACUGGGGUUGUUACUGGACCCUCCCUGGGCUCUUACUGGGACCAUCCUUGUGCCUUUACUGGAUCUUUACUGGGGCUGUUACUGGGACCAUCAUUGGACCUUUACUGGAGCUGCUACUGGACCCUCACUGGGUCCUUACUGGGACUGUUACUGUACCUUCACUGGGUCUUUACUGGGGCUGUUACUGGGCUCUUACUGGGACCAUUGUUGGACCUUUACUGGGGCUGUUACUGGACCCUCACUGGGUCCUUACUGGGACUGUUACUGUACCUUCACUGGGUCUUUACUGGGGCUGUUACUGGGCUCUUACUGGGACCAUUGUUGGACCUUUACUGGGGCUGUUACUGGGCCCUCCCUGGGCCCUUACUGGGACCAUCCUUGUGCCUUUACUGGGUCUUUACUGGGGCUGUUACUGGGGCUGUUACUGGACCCUCCCUGGGCCCUUACUGGGACCAUCGUUCUGCCUUUACUGGGUAUUUACUGGGGCUGUUACUGGGCCUUUACUGGGCCCUUACUGGGACCAUCACUGCCUUUACUGGGUCUUUACUGGGGCUGUCAUUGGACCUUUACUGGGUAUUUACUGGGGCUGUUACUGGGUCCUCUCUGGGCCCUUACUGGGACCAUCGUUGGACCUUUACUGGUUCUUUACUGGGGCUGUUACUGGGCCCUUACUGGGACCAUCCUUGUGCCUUUACUGGCUCUUUACUGGGGGGUCACUGGUCCAUAAACGGCCNNNNNNNNNNNNNNNNNNNNNNNNNNNNNNNNNNNNNNNNNNNNNNNNNNNNNNNNNNNN
rnacentral:lncRNA from 1 species